CGCGGAGUAGAGCAGUUGGUAGCUCGUCGGGCUCAUAACCCGGAGGUCGUAGGUUCAAGUCCUUCCUCCGCAACCA
rnacentral:tRNA from 3 species